rnacentral:miRNA from 1 species
GAGGCCUGGGUGGGGCCUGAGAUGGUGAGUGGCCAACAGUCCAGGUGACACAAUGGAGUC